ensembl:snoRNA small nucleolar RNA U83B
GUGUGUCGGUGACGAGACCACGGAACACCGCGCCAGGCAUGGCGCCCGACACCCAAUGAGGAUAUAUUCCAGCUGCCUUCCUUCUGAGACCACAC